rnacentral:hammerhead_ribozyme from 1 species
AUCCAACUGACGAGUCCCAAAUAGGACGAAAUGUGCGUUCGAAAU